rnacentral:rRNA from 1 species
UAUGGGAUCGAUUUAGCCAUGCUAGUCGCACGAGUUCAGACUCGUGGCGAAUAGCUCAGUAACACGUGGCCAAACUACCCUUCGGAACACAAUACCCUCGGGAAACUGAGGCUAAUAGUGUAUAUCGUACCACCACUGGAAUGAGUGGUACGCCAAACGCUCCGGCGCCGAAGGAUGUGGCUGCGGCCGAUUAGGUAGACGGUGGGGUAACGGCCCACCGUGCCAAUAAUCGGUAUGGGUCAUGAGAGUGAGAACCCAGAGACGGAAUCUGAGACAAGAUUCCGGGCCCUACGGGGCGCAGCAGGCGCGAAACCUUUACACUGCACGACAGUGCGAUAGGGGGAUCCCAAGUGCACAGGCAUAGCGCCUGUGCUUUUCGGCACCCUAAGGCGGUGCCAGAAUAAGGGCUGGGCAAGACCGGUGCCAGCCGCCGCGGUAAUACCGGCAGCCCAAGUGAUGGCCGAUCUUAUUGGGCCUAAAGCGUCCGUAGCUGGCCGCGCAAGUCCAUCGGGAAAUCCACCUGCUCAACAGGUGGGCGCCCGGUAGAAACUGCGUGGCUUGGGACCGGAAGGCGCGACGGGUACGUCCGGGGUAGGAGUGAAAUCCCGUAAUCCUGGACGGACCGCCGAUGGCGAAAGCACGUCGCGAGAACGGAUCCGACAGUGAGGGACGAAAGCCAGGGUCUCGAACCGGAUUAGAU